rnacentral:rRNA from 1 species
GUGAGGAAUAUUGGUCAAUGGACGAGAGUCUGAACCAGCCAUCCCGCGUGCCGGAAGAAGGCCCUCAGGGUUGUAAACGGCUUUUGACGGUGAAGAAUCGACAGGAUGCGUCCUGUUUUGACGGUAGCCGUUGAAUAAGCACCGGCUAACUCCGUGCCAGCAGCCGCGGUAAUACGGAGGGUGCGAGCGUUAAUCGGAAUUACUGGGCGUAAAGCGUGCGCAGGCGGUUUUGUAAGACAGACGUGAAAUCCCCGGGCUCAACCUGGGAAUGGCGUUUGGGACUGCAAAGCUGGAGUGCGGCAGAGGGGGAUGGAAUUCCGCGUGUAGCAGUGAAAUGCGUAGAUAUGCGGAGGAACACCGAUGGCGAAGGCAAUCCCCUGGGCCUGCACUGACGCUCAUGCACGAAAGCGUGGGGAGCAAACAGGAUUAGAAACCCGGGUAGUCC